rnacentral:rRNA from 1 species
GAUGAACGCUGGCGGCGUGCCUAACACAUGCAAGUCGAACGGAGUCCAGCCUUUAAGACCUUCGGGUCAAAGAGGGGAAGACUGAGUGGCGGACGGGUGAGUAACACGUGGGCAACCUGGCUCAUAGAGGGGGAUAACAGAGAGAAAUUUCUGCUAAUACCGCAUAAGCACACACUGCCGCAUGGCAGAGGGUGAAAAGAGAAUCGCUAUGAGAUGGACCCGCGUCUGAUUAGCCAGUUGGCAGGGUAAGAGCCUACCAAAGCGACGAUCGGUAGCCGAUCUGAGAGGAUGAACGGCCACAUUGGGACUGAGACACGGCCCAAACUCCUACGGGAGGCAGCAGUGGGGGAUAUUGCACAAUGGGGGGAACCCUGAUGCAGCGACGCCGCGUGAGUGAAGAAGUAUUUCGGUAUGUAAAGCUCUAUCAGCAGGGAAGAUAAUGACAGUACCUGAAUAAGAAGCCCCGGCUAACUACGUG